ACAGCAAAACGUUCUGCCGCUCCGCUGGUUUUUCCUUCGGGGAGGAAAGUCCGGGCAGCACAGGGCAUCCUGCUUCCUAACGGGAAGGCGCCACUCCGGAUGGGCGACAGCAAGUGCCACAGAAAAUAAACCGCCGCAGCAAUGCCGGUAAGGGUGAAAAUGUGCGGUAAGAGCGCACGGCCUGGCAUGGCAACAUGCCUUGCGGUAAACCUCAGGAGCUGAAAGGCCAAAUAGGUUCCGGCAAUUACAGGAAGCGGCCCGCUUCCGUUACUGGCAGCAGUAACGCCGGAACGGGUAGGCUGAUUGAGGUGAUGGGCAACCAUCAUCCCAGAUAAAUGGCAGAAACCCGGGAAACCGGGCACAGAACCCGGCUUACAGGUUUGCAUCC
rnacentral:RNase_P_RNA from 1 species